UACAGAGGUCUCAAGCGUUGUUCGGAUUCACUGGGCGUAAAGGGUGCGUAGGUGGCUUGAAAAGUUUGAUGUGAAAGCUCAGGGCUUAACCCUGAAAUGGCAUUGAAUACUGUCGAGCUGGAGGUUUGGAGGGGGACUGGAAUUCUUGGUGUAGCAGUGAAAUGCGUAGAUAUCAAGAGGAACACCAGUGGCGAAGGCGAGUCCCUGGACAACACCUGACACUGAGGCACGAAAGCUAGGGGAGCAAACAGG
rnacentral:rRNA from 1 species